rnacentral:rRNA from 1 species
UACGUAGGGUGCAAGCGUUGUCCGGAAUUAUUGGGCGUAAAGAGCUCGUAGGCGGUCUGUCGCGUCGGCUGUGAAAACCCGGAGCUCAACUCCGGGCCUGCAGUCGAUACGGGCAGACUGGAGUUCGGCAGGGGAGACUGGAAUUCCUGGUGUAGCGGUGAAAUGCGCAGAUAUCAGGAGGAACACCGAUGGCGAAGGCAGUGGGCUGGGCCGGCACUGACGCUGAGGAGCGAAAGCGUGGGGAGCGAACAGG